rnacentral:siRNA from 1 species
AUCUGGUUAUGAGGCUGGUUA